GAUCCGAGGGCCUCAUCUCGCAUCUCUGCGUUCUCUGACUGGAGAAGGAUGCUUCCCUUUGCUCCCCAGCGGACCUCUGGGGCCUUCUUCGGGCUCCAAGCACUCUGGGCAGGAGGACCGUUGUCCGGCCGACGUGGAAAGGCUCCUUGAACAACAAAGUCUUGUCUCAUCCCAAAGGGACACAGUGCUCCUGCUGAGAAACCCUGCUCUAGGGGACAAUCUCAAGCACCCAGAAGGCUACAAAACUCAGCGCUCUCCUUGCCCUGGGCCUGGCUCAGUCUUCUGGAUUUGGUUUCAGACUUGGCCAACAUCCCUCUACUAUCUUCCCAGCUGGUGUUCAAGAAUAGCCCCUCUCCACUGGAUUCAGGAUCCCACACUAAACCACAGCUUCCCAUCUGGGGACUUCCCUGUUCAGCUUCCUCAGACCGUCCUCUCCCCGGUUCCUGAUGAAGGCCGUCUGCGUAGAACCUGCCUCUGGACUCAGGAAGCGCAAGCCUUUCCUUCCUUCUCGAAUCGAAUUUGAGAUGGAGCGGAUGAUGAUUGGAAAUGACUACGAUGGUGAAGCCUGGCACGUCGUGAACUUACUCUGUAUUAGGUGCGUCUCUUCUCUUAUGUAAUCCCCAAACAAGAGAGAAAGUCUGUGAAUGAGAAAACUAAAGGACAUAAAUAGCAAGCCACAUGACCAGAGGCACAAACUUAGCAAGGAAAUCCUAGACGCUCGAUUAGAACACAGAUUUUCAGCACAAAUUUUAAAUCCCCCCCCCUUUAAACAGCUUUAUUUAGACAUAAUUGAUAGCCUGGAAACUGAAAACAUUGAAAGUAUAAAAUUUGAUGUUGUAGCAUAAAUAGUCAUUUGUAAAAAUAUCACUAUGAUAAAAAUUCUGAGUGUGCAGGUCCC
rnacentral:lncRNA from 9 species